GGAGAGGUGGCUGAGUGGUUGAUAGCUCCGGUCUUGAAAACCGGUAUAGUUUUGAUAUUAUCGAGGGUUCGAAUCCCUCUCUCUCCU
rnacentral:tRNA from 1 species